AUGAGAAUAGCUCAGUGAUAGAGCAAAUGCUUAGCAUGCAUGAGGUCUGGGGUUCAACCCCCAGUACUUCCA
rnacentral:tRNA from 1 species